rnacentral:tRNA from 1 species
GGAGAGGUGACAGAGUGGCCGAUUGUGCAACACUGGAAAUGUUGUGUACCGCUAUGGUACCGAGGGUUCGAAUCCCUCCCUCUCCGCCA